rnacentral:lncRNA from 1 species
AUCUUUCCCAGCAUCAGGGUCUUUUCCAAUGAGUCAGCUCUUUACAUCAUCAGGUGGCCAAAAUAAUAGCAUUGUAAAAGCAUAAUUAGCAUACAAUUUGAAGAUGUAGCCUUGAGCAGAAAUGACUAUAAGGUCAGUUUUACUGACUAGUCACCUUGGUCUAAUUUCUCUAAAAUGAUCACAAAGUCCACCAUCAGCACCACAGCCUCACACACAGUGGGAUUAUGCUUAUUUUGAAGAUACUAUAAAAAUCAUACCUAUCAUGAUACCAGAAAAACGAAAUGUGACAGAUUCCUGAUGUCUUCUAAGGCCUGGAGCUGCUACUUAUUUCAGUUUAACAACACUGAUCUCUCUAGGGCACUAGAGUGCAUCAGAAAAGCCUGGAAUCACGCCUAGGCAGAGCAGAAAUGAUUAUUAAUGCAUGGCCAACUUUUAACUGGAGUGUUCUAAGUAUGACUAGUUGGUAUUUGAAAUCAUGGCUAGAGAUGAGAAUUAGUAAGAAUCAGUUGCAUCAGAACUUUGGUUUCUUUGGAUCACAUCCAUUUCCCACCUUUAUAACCCAUCCAUACCCUACCCUCACAGUCACUGUAGUCAGUAGAAUGAAAUUGGGAAGUCAAGCUUUUCUUAAUGAACAGACAAUAGACUGCUGUGUUUGGGUGCACUGACUCUAGAAUGACAUCAUCUAGCUCAAAUCUACAUCUGCCGCUUGUUGUGCCUUGGAUGAGUUUGUUUCUCUCUCCGUGCCUGCCCUGUACCCAUGUAAGAACUCCAUAUUUUGUCUAAGAAUGAACUCAAUGCAUAUAAAGCAUCUAAAAUAGUAUCUGACAUACAGUAAGUAUGCUUUAUAUGAGUGCUAGUAUUAUUAUAUUAUUACUACUAAUAUUACUUUUGUUAGUUAUAAAAAAGAUAAUGCUCAAGGAAUUGUUUUUUAAAAUAUUUUAUUCCUUUGGUAGAUCAUGAUAUUAAUUUAAUUUUCUUGAUUUGCAUAAAAUCUGAUAUAUAAUACUAAAAAUU